AAUCCAGACAAAUAGAAGAAACAGUUGGACUAUAAAUAGCCACAACUGAUUCCUCCUGUCACAUUAUGGGCCCAUGACUCAAAGGUUCUGAGGUUCUCAGCUGUGGGUUCCUUUGGGGUUUAUCCAGAGUAGUUAUUCCAGGGAUGUGACUAACCAUCUGAAGUGUUCAGCCUCUGUGUAAUUAUUGUUUAUUUGUGCUUAUUUUCAUUUAAAAGGGGGAACUGACUUUUACUAAGAGUUUGUGAAAACAUGCAAUGAUUGACCCAGUCAUGUAAUGGGGUUAAUUAAGGUCAGGAAGGGUUUAUUUGCUCAGGUUUUCCACAAUAUUGUAGCUUUGCCUUCUGGCCUGAGGUGAACUUCUGUUGCCUCCUCUCACAUUAUUGCUGUUAUCCAAACCUGUGGCUCAGCAGCAACCUGCUGCAGCUUCUCUUGAAUCUGAAUCCAGCCUCUCCAAAGCUUCAGCUUUUCCGCCCUGCACCUCAGACUGCUGCCUGUCUGUUGCCCUCUGUGGUUGAAUAAAACCAUUCAACAGGUAGACCAACAUUAAUCAUGAUGUCCCAACCCAAAGGGAUCGGUGACGGGGAGUCUGCAGGCGAUCCUGAUUCACAGUUCUGUUUCAUCUCAGACUGGACUCCAGGAAUUACACUGGCAUCUGCUUUCUUUGGUAUCCAUUCAGUGGCUGCUGGGGUUGGACAAGUAAUGAGUUUUGAGGCCUGGCACCAGAGUUCUGAUGUCAGAGACAGUGGAUAUCUGCUGAGGAGCUUUGCAGAGACCCAAGAUGCUCUGCAGCUUCACAUAUUGCAACAGGAACUCUUUACCAAAUCCUCUUCUAACGAAUGACAUACUUCGUUAUGACACAAUUGUUGCCUUUAAAACUAAAGGCAACAAUUAAAAAUGAACCAAAAUAACAGCUUACACAGGCAGAUUUCCUCAGUUACGCUUCUAUUCUCUGUACUUUCCCAUCUGUUCACAGUCCAGCUUGGAGUUUUUUAAGGACUUUUUUGGUUCUAGUACCCUUUAUUGACAAGCCACAGACCAAUUCAUUGGGUAGAUCAUCGAACUUUGGGAAGUGUCACUCAAAGGAAAAUGAUCGUCCUCAUGAAUAUUGAUUGAAUAUUGAUAUAUGAGUUUUUAUUGCAAAUGAUUUUAUGCAUGAUUUUCACAAGGCAAAAGCUGUCCAAACCACCCUGGCACUACAGAAAAAGUAAUUUCCUUUACAGCGACAAGAACAAGAAACAUCAAGUGUUUGUGAUAACUUGUAAUAACACUUUAUCAUCAACACUGAGGAAUUCUGGCCAACUCUUCUGUGCAGAAAUGACGUCUUAACCGUCAUGAGGACAGCGAUGUCGUCGUGGAACCAUCGUCUGACAUACAGGCGUUUUGGGAGUGAUGUUAAUUCAAAAACAUUUAAGAGUGGUUGAAUGUGAACGGCACAUUUCAGGUCACACUAGAGCAUCUGAAUGUUUAUGUCUGACUUUCCUUCAGCUGAUUUAUUACAGUUCAGUUACAAACUGUUUCUUGUUUCUUCCAUUUGGUUUUUAUCUUUUUUGUUGUACAUUUCCAACUUCCAAAUCAUGGUGUUGACAGUUUUCUGUCGUCUUCUUUAGUCUUUGUGUGUUUUCAGUUUUACAAGCUGACUGGAAACAACCAACAUGUUCUUGGUGCAAAUCCUUCCUGAAGCGGUGAUUUAAAAUCCUUUGAGCCGACAGACGUCUCGUGGGGAUCAUCAGUCUUUAUUCAUCACUGAGUGAUUCCAUCAUUUCUUUCUGCUGUAUUUCAUCUGACUGGUUGUUUUGUCCAUAAUUCAUCCUGAUGGCAAACAGAAGCUGAGCUAUUGGGCCACAUUAAGUAUGACAGUGUGAUGUCAUAUGUUGCUAUUUCUACCUCAGGGUGUUUAGCAGACAUUGGACAGUCUGAUGAAUGAGAACCUAGAACAUCAUAACAGAACCAGCUUCUCCAGAGCUGAUGUACCCUGAACGUCAAGCUAGCUGCUUUGUUUCCAGCAGAUAUUGAUGAAAAUCCCUUUAGACUUUGUGGCAGCGACUGAGGUGGAGAGCCCAGCAUCUCGGAGCUCAGUGGGUCCAGGACAGCAGAGGAGGAUCGAUGAUUGAAGCCAACAGUUUGCUAUGGAGGGCCUGUGGAGCCCGACCCAGACAGUUUCUAAUAAACAGAACCAGAAGACGAGCCCAGAUCAGCAGCAAUGAUAACCACUCACACAUCCCAAGAAAUAUAAUGUCUGCAAGCUGAAGAACAGAAAGAGAUGAGAUUAGUGAAGGAACCUGCAACAGGAACAAAAGAACAAGUUUAUUAAAAAAGCUGAGCAACUUUUCUGUUCUCUAACUCACUGGGAUUUUUGUAGCUGCUGCUGACUGAAAGCAUUAGAAGUGUGUAAAGAUGAUUCCUGCAAACCAAAAGGAGUUAAAAUUUUACUGACAGAAAAAAUGAGCUGCUUUCUAAAAUAGAUUUGACCGUUUCUAAUAAAUGUUGAAACUAAAAAUGGAAUGGAAUAAAAAUGCUAUUUAGAGA